UACGUAGGGUGCAAGCGUUAAUCGGAAUUACUGGGCGUAAAGCGUGCGCAGGCGGUUCGGAGAGAAAGAUGUGAAAUCCCAGAGCUUAACUUUGGAACUGCAUUUUUAACUACCGGGCUAGAGUGUGUCAGAGGGAGGUGGAAUUCCGCGUGUAGCAGUGAAAUGCGUAGAUAUGCGGAGGAACACCGAUGGCGAAGGCAGCCUCCUGGGAUAACACUGACGCUCAUGCACGAAAGCGUGGGGAGCAAACAGG
rnacentral:rRNA from 1 species